CGCCCCCCUAAUUUUUGAGGUUGACCCUGUGUGACUUGGGGAAAGAUCGGCGGACGGCUGACUAACGCGUGGGUGACCUGCCCUGUACACACGGAUAACAUACCGAAAGGUAUGCUAAUACGGGAUAAUGUACUUUCGCCCCAUGGCAAAACUCUCAAAGCUCCUGCGGCACAAGAUGGACCCUCGUCUGAUUAGCUAAUUGGAGAGGUAUUGGCUCACCAAGGCAACAAUCAGUACCCGACCUGAGAGGGUGAUCGGCCACCUUGAAACUGACACACGGCCCAAACUCCUACGGGAGGCAGGACUGGCGAAUAUUGCACAAUGGGCGAAAGCCUGAUGCACCAACGCCGCGUGAGCGAUGAAUGCCUUCGGGUCGUAAAGCUCUGUGCUCAAGGACCAUAAUGACGAUACUUGACGAGGAAUCCCAGGCUAACUACGUGCCAGCAGACGCUGUCGUCCGUAGGGGACUAGCGUUAUCCUGAAUUACUGCCCGUAAACGGGUGCGUACGUGGUUCUUAGUCAAAGGGAAUGCUCGGCUCACCGUAGCAACCUUUUAACUGAGAACUGGGGGCAGCUAGGAUAUCCAUUUCUACUUGCGUG
rnacentral:rRNA from 1 species